rnacentral:snoRNA from 1 species
AAUCCAUGAUUAGGGCAAUCUCGAGUUGUCCCUUAAGUCUCCCCCAUGCUUCAUAGAAACUUUCAUUAAUUCCUUGCUCAAAGCCCAUUAUGUCCUUCCUCACUUU